CCGUUGGGUAAAUUAACCGCAUCGAAUGGGGGUUAUUAGACAUGCUUUGGACGAGGAGCGAUUAAAUGAACUGUUUUACCUUAUUGGCCUAUUGAGGGACGGCUCAGUGUACUAUGAUAGGAUGUCACGAAACUAUUACAUCGUAUGGUACUCGAAAUCACGUGACUUUCUUGAAUGCGUUGUUGCCCCAAAAUUAUCAAGGACCUUCCCUCACAUUCGAUUGUGGAUGGAUCAAUACAAGAAGGGGCACUGGAGAAUCAGAAUUAGUAACCGAGAAAUAUACCACAUGGUGAAAACAAGCUUCGAAUUCCCUGAUGAGCAUCUUGGGCAAAGAUAUUGGGGAAUCCCCGCAUUGGUUCGCGAAGCGGAUAUGCCGCUGAAGCUGAGCCACAUUAGGGGAAUCGCAGACGCUGAAGGCGAUGUAUCGUUAGUAAACAAAUACAUUGAGAUAUCACAGAAAAAUUACGAAGUUCUGCAAUGGAUUAAAGUGACGUUGCAUGAAGUGGGAAUAUCAACGGGCGAUAUUAUUUUAGCUGAUAGAAAGUCCCUAACGUACAAAAUUGUUAUUAGUCAAAGAAUGGCGGUAGUGCUUUUUAAUAAAUUAGUUAAUUUUGAGCAUCCGUUAAAGAAACUACAGCUUGAAAGAUUAGUAAAUUUUUACCCAACCGCACGGCGUCAGCAGACUUAAAGGAAUUGGCGGGGGAGCACCACAAGGGGUGGACGUUGCGGCUUAAUUGGAGUCAACGCCGGAAACCUUACCGGGGGCGACAGCAGGAUGAUGGCCAGGUUGAAGGCCUUGCCUGACGAGCUGAGAGGAGGUGCAUGGCCGUCGCCAGUGCGUGCCGUGAGGUGUCCUGUUAAUUCAGGCAACGGACGAGACCCGUGCCCCCAGUUGCGACCGGGCCGAAAGGCGCCGAGCACUCUGGGGGGACUGCCCCGGAAACGGGGAGGAAGGAACGGGCCACGGCAGGUCAGUAUGCCCCGAAUCCCCCGGGCCGCACGCGACGUUCAAUGGUGGGGACAGUGGGCUGCAACCCCGAAAGGGGAAGCCAAUCCCUAAACCCCACCUCAGUAGGGAUCGAGGGUUGCAACUCGCCCUCGUGAACGCGGAAUCCCUAGUAACCGCCCGUUACCACCGGGCGGUGAAUACGUCCCCGCUCCUUGCACACACUGCCCGUCGCUGCACCCGAGCUGGGAUUGGGCGAGGGCCAGUCUCGUUGGCUGGUUCGAGCCCGGUCCUGGUGAGGGGGCAGAAGUCGUAACAAGGUGGCCGCACGGGAACGUGUGGCCG
rnacentral:rRNA from 1 species